rnacentral:lncRNA from 1 species
CGAGCGCGUCCUGAAAGACGAGGAGUAGAACAGGUACUGCUGCCCUGCCCACUCCCCCACGAACUGACUGAACCGUGUCAUGCACCUUCCUCACACUGUUAAGAUUUAGUGAUCCCACCACCGUGAGGUUGAAUGGAGGAAUGCUCAAUUCAGUGAUACAAUUACUCCCCGAUUCGGAACUGAAGAUACUGAUAUUUCAUUCGUUCAAUCUGCUGAUUUCAUGUUAGAAAAGUGUUUAAUUGGUUGAGGAUAUAUGUGCAUCUGGUCCGCUAUAUGGGGAAAAAGCUCUCUGCUCUAGCCUCUAGCCUUGCCUAAUCCGUGUUUUUUUUCCAAAAUGCAUAAUCUUGUGAUUCUAGUUAGUUUUGUCAGGCAUUGGAUAAUUGUGUUUCUACAGUCCCACCAGCAUCUAAACAGAAUGAGUGUCUUGUCUUGUUUAAAGUGGUAUGGCGCAUCUAAUGUGGUACACUAUCCAAUUUCUCAAUCUUUACCUAUUUCUAAAGCAUGCAACAUUUCCACCAGAAAUUUUGGUUUGGUCUAACAUAAUCACCGACGAGUGGACCCAAAGCGUAUAUAAUGAGAAUCGAACAACAUCGCUAUAUUGUAAUCUAAACGUUCUCGAAUACAACGAGAUCGAGAAAACACAACAAAAUCCGUGUCGAAGAAAACCCAUCGCAGGAAAAGAAAAAAUCUACCGCAACCUGUACGGGGACUUCGAUCGUGGCAACACACGGGCAUAUUUGCUAGUAGUAAAAACUACAAAGUAUAAGACUGUUCUGUCUCAAGUCAAUAGUCUUCAACCAUAAGAGUGUCCUCCUUUUCAGAUACUCAAAUAGAAACAAACAUGACUGCAACCAUAAAGGCCUUUUGUGCAUGCUUUCAACACACACCAUAGCCGCCAUAGUGAAAUCUUAGGAUUUUUAAGUCUUCCAGUCUUUUCUUUAGACUUCCAUUUUUUCACUUUAUGAUAACUAAUAAUCCUGUUAGAUCCAUCUGGUAGUAGCAGGCUAGUAGCUGUUUUCUUUAUCAAUGUUUAUAAGAGUUGUUGUUUGAUGUACUAGUGGUAGCUUAGCAGUUACUGAAUUGGUGUUGCUUGAUGUUAGAUCAACCAGGAGAGCAAACUGCUAAUGUAACCCUGAAGACGAUAAAAAAAUCAAUAUAAUGGAAGCUGGCAAAUGAAGAUUUGGGCAUAAUCCACAGCUCCUAAUAUCUUCAUUCCAUUUAGUGCGUGCUGUUUUUGUCAGUUUGCAUCAAGCUAAUAUACGCCACAUCUAAUUUGAGCUGGAUCUGCAGAAUAUUUUACCGCUACGGACUGGCUAUCUUACUGAAUAUUUUCAAAAUUUAGGAUUUGCUGAUAAGCUUAUAUAAGCUACUUUUUGUUUCUUGGUCAUACAUACAAGCUCUAUGCCCCUAUCUUUUGCUGUCCUGAAGACUAGCAAUUUUUGGCACAAUCUCUAGCAAUUUAGGAUGUGCUUAUUCAGUAUAUGCUGGGUUAAUAUGCUGUCAGUAAAUAGCCGUUAUUUAGGUAGGCUCAUUGCAUAGACAAAUAUGUUGUUGAUCUAAGUGUGAGUGCUUGCUUGUACAAAUAUUCUGGCACAUGACAAGCAAUGGUGAUAUGAUCAAUCACUCAAUCUUGUGGAGGUUCAGUAUAUGAACAGGAUUGGGAAUUGCCAUAGUUAUUUUUGUUUGCUAUAUGGGCUCUUAAGAUUAAACAUCAGCACACACAAUGCAAGUGCAAACAACAUACUUACCAUUUCUGCUAACAAGUGAGGAAUACUUCUUGUGAGGAUAUCCUGCAGACAAUCACAGGGAUAGAGCUACUGUUUUUCAUGGACAACGGAAGUAUUUGUGCGUGUCUUCUUAUAUAUGCUGCAGCCUGAUUGAAAUUCAUUUUCUUGCAGGAAGGUGUUGCAUUUGCGCCAUUUGAGCUGGAUUCAUAUUACUGGGUCCAUCCUAUAGUGUUUCCAUUUCCCGUUAAAACUUUAUGAAGUGAAAUUUUGCUGACUAGACUGAUGGCCCCAUGCCUAGUCAAGUACAAGUGGUCAGGAUAGUGAGCUGAUCAACAUCCAGGAGCAGGAGGUAACAGUAGUAACGCUGUUUACUAUCUCAAUGCUUGGGCCUGUUAAUGUCCUGGAUAAAAGAGAUCCUAUAUUCUUUGUAUUUCAGUCAGUUUAUGCUUGCAACUUAAAAGACUGAACUUGUUGAGUUGAGGCAUUGGGGUCGCGUAGUUUGCAGAAACCCGCUGUUAUCAGCUUUUCCCGAACAAGGUGUGUCGGUCGUAAUAGAUGGCUAGCUUGUUAAGUCUGAGCAGAUUCAGAUUAGCACUUGUAUUUCUUGCUUACUCCAUUGUCUCGGCUCAGCUGGCUCAGCCACCUGAAGUUCUGAACUGGAC